UCGUUGCUUAAAUAGACUACAAAAAAUCUGUUCAGUGCUACCCUUGUCUUAAAAGUUGAAAUCAAGCAUUGAUGUCCACAUCACAUGGUGGUCGUAUUUCCUUAUACUAAAGCUGAAACUAAUGAAUAGUUCAAACUUAUGCUUCAUAAUAAUUUGGAGAUUAAUAUUCAUCAAAAUUAAGCAGGGAUAUGACCACCAAAGUACAUGAGUAUUACACCCAGAUUUGUUUUUAAAAAGUAAUGUACUCACAUGAGAAGCGGUCUACUAUAUGCACCAAGAACUCCAGCCAAUCAGGUUGAUUCCAAAGUAGUUUUAAAGACUUCAAUAUAUCCCAACAAGCGGAAUGUUGCGUUUGGUACUAUUCGGAGUACUGGUCCAAGAACUAAGGCUGGUGGUAUCGAGUUAGGUGCUGAAUUUUCCCUUGUGUGCAUUGAUCAACCUGUUAUUGAUAACGAGGAGUUGGUAAGGGAAGUUUCUGAUUGCAAGGCAAUUGGUGAUGCUUUCUCUUAAGGAUACUUAAUUGCCUGGCCUUUAGCUUUUAUUUGAGAGAAGGACAAUUGAGUUGCAGCCGAAUUCUUGGAUCAAGAAGCAUUUUUUCAAGAAUUUAGCUACUAAUAGUCAUAGUUUUACAUUGAUAGACUAAAAAAUGCAAUGUCAUCCACAAGAUCUUUUUCUUUGUUCCAAUUGAUGCAACUACUAUGUUGUAAUAUUCUCCAUAGUUGUGUUUUAUAUGCUAAAAAAGAUAUGAAUGGUAUCUUUAUUGUAA